AUUGAACGCUGGCGGCAGGCCUAACACAUGCAAGUCGAGCGGGGUUUUCGGACCUAGCGGCGGACGGGUGAGUAAUGCGUAGGAAGCUGCCCGAUAGAGGGGGAUACAAGUUGGAAACGACUGUUAAUACCGCAUAAUGUCUACUGACCAAUGUGUGUGACCUUCGGGCCACAUGCUAUCGGAUGCGCCUACGUGGGAUUAGCUAGUUGGUGAGGUAAUGGCUCACCAAGGCGACGAUCUCUAGCUGGUUUGAGAGGAUGAUCAGCCACACCGGAACUGAGACACGGUCCAGACUCCUACGGGAGGCAGCAGUGGGGAAUAUUGGACAAUGGGCGCAAGCCUGAUCCAGCCAUGCCGCGUGUGUGAAGAAGGCCUUCGGGUUGUAAAGCACUUUCAGCGAGGAGGAAGGGAUGUAUGUUAAUAGCAUGCAUUUUUGACGUUACUCGCAGAAGAAGCACCGGCUAACUCUGUGCCAGCAGCCGCGGUAACAC
rnacentral:rRNA from 1 species